GACGCAGGCCCUGGGCUACAGCAACCUUACCAGCCCCUCCAGCUUAGAGGUGGCAGUGGCUCUCUGCGGCUGCGAUUUCUUUCUCGGAGCGUCCUCCCCAUCCCGUUCGGCCUCUGCCUCCACCGUCGUCUCUGUAACCCGUUCCCUGUGGGAGAGUCUCUGUUGCGGUGUUCAGGGGUUUCGGUUUUCUGGCUGAACAGUGAUUAACGCGAGGGAAGGCGCUGACGGCAAGGUGGCAGGAAGAACAUUCCAACACAGACCACAACACCUAUGGACCUGGAAAACAUUGUGCUCAGUGAAAGAAGCCAGACACAGAAGGACAAUGUUGUAUGAGGUCUUAUUCUGUUGCCCAGGCUGGACUGCAGUGGUGCAAUCCUAGCUCACUGCAGCUUCGACCUCCCGUGCUCAAGUGAUUUUCCCACCUCAGCCUCCCGAGUAGCUGGGACUACAGGUGCGUGCCACCACGCCUGGCUGAUUUUUCUUGUAUUUUUUUGUAGAGAUGG
rnacentral:lncRNA from 1 species